UUUCGCAAUGCCCGAAAGGGUGACGAAGCGACGCCGCGUGGGUGAGGAAGGCCUUCGGGUUGUAAAGCCCUGUCAGGAGUUAAGAAAUGUAAGUGCGCUAAUACCGCAUUUAUUUGACGAAGGCUCCAAAGGAAGUCACGACUAACUCUGUGCCAGCAGCCGCGGUAAUACAGAGGUGGCAAGCGUUGUUCGGAAUUAUUGGGCGUAAAGAGCACGUAGGUGGGUUUGUAAGUCAGAUGUGAAAGCCUCCUGUUCAACGGGAGAAUUGCAUCUGAAACUACAGAUCUUGAGUGUAGGAGGGGAGAAUGGAACUUCUGGUGGAGCGGUGAAAUGCGUAGAUAUCAGAAGGAACGCCGGCGGCGAAAGCGAUUCUCUGGCCUAUUACUGACACUCAGUGUGCGAAAGCUAGGGUAGCAAACGGGAUUAGAUACCCCGGUAGUCCUAGCCGUAAACGAUGGGCACUAAGUAGAGGGGUUUUA
rnacentral:rRNA from 1 species